rnacentral:rRNA from 1 species
CUACGGGACGCAGCAGUAGGGAAUAUUGCCCAAUGGACGAAAGUCUGAGGCAGCAACGCCGCGUGUGCGAAGAAGGUCUUCGGAUUGUAAAGCACUUUUAGCAGGGAAGAGGAAGGACAGUACCUGCAGAAUAAGCCUCGGCUAACUACGUGCCAGCAGCCGCGGUAACACGUAGGAGGCAAGCGUUAUCCGGAUUUACGUGGGCGUAAAGCGCGUGCAGGCGGGUUGGUAAGUUAGAUGUGAAAUCUCCUGGCUUAACUGGGAGAGGUCGUCUAAAACUACCAGUCUGGAGUGCGAGAGAGGGAGGCAGAAUUCCGAGUGUAGUGGUGUAAUGCGUAGAUAUUCGGAGGAAUACCAGAGGCGAAGGCGGCCUCCUGGCUCGCAACUGACGCUGAGACGCGAAAGCUAGGGUAGCAAACGGGAUUAGAUACCCUCGUAGUC